rnacentral:rRNA from 1 species
UAGUCCACGCCGUAAACGAUGAGAACUAGAUGUCGGGAGGGUUGCCUUUCGGUGUCGCAGCUAACGCGUUAAGUUCUCCGCCUGGGGAGUACGCCGGCAACGGUAAAACUCAAAGGAAUUGACGGGGACCCGCACAAGCGGUGGAGCAUGUGGUUUAAUUCGAUGCAACGCGAAGAACCUUACCUGCCCUUGACAUACUCGGAACUUUCCAGAGAUGGAUUGGUGCCUUCGGGAAUCGAGAUACAGGUGCUGCAUGGCUGUCGUCAGCUCGUGUCGUGAGAUGUUGGGUUAAGUCCCGCAACGAGCGCAACCCUUGUCCUUAGUUGCCAGCACGUAAUGGUGGGGACUCUAGGGAGACUGCCGGUGACAAACCGGAGGAAGGUGGGGACGACGGUCAAGUCCUCAUGGCCCUUACGCGUAGGGGCUACACACGUGCUACAAUGGGUGGGCUACAAUGGGGUAUAAUCCCCAAAAGCCAUCUCAGUUCGGGAUUGUCGUCUGCAACUCGACGGGCAUGAAGUU